GAUGCCGGAACCCGCCCAGAAGGCGUGGAAGCUGGCGGGAGCCGGUUGCUCCUGGACCCGCUCCUGGAAGAGGAACACGGCCUGGGGUCUGGGCCGCCGCCUACCCUCGGCUCAGCUGCCACUGCCGGGCAGUUAAGGGGGCGCUGGUGGGGACGCUCUGCUCGGGGAGCCGGCGGGUGACGCCUGGGCUGUGCGGCUGGGGAGGCGCACAGGGAGGGGUGCGGAGAUGCACUAAGUAGGGUCAUCAGAAGCCUGUCAAUUCCAAAGAUGAUAAUAGCGAAAAACAUUGCACAGUGACAGUGAAUCCUUGGCAUAUGAAGAAAGAUUGUAAAGUCCUGAAUGAAUUAAGAAGAUGCAGAAGUUUUUAAAGCUUCACAGACAUAUCAG